rnacentral:rRNA from 1 species
UCAGGAUGAACGCUAGCGACAGGCUUAACACAUGCAAGUCGAGGGGCAGCACGGGAGUAGCAAUACAACUGGUGGCGACCGGCGCACGGGUGAGUAACGCGUAUGCAACCUACCUAUCGAGAGGGGAAUAACCCGGCGAAAGUCGGACUAAUACCGCAUAAAACAGGGGCACCGCAUGGUGAUAUUUGUUAAAGAGAUUCGCUGAUAGAUGGGCAUGCGUUCCAUUAGGUAGUUGGUGAGGUAACGGCUCACCAAGCCGACGAUGGAUAGGGGAACUGAGAGGUUGGUCCCCCACACUGGUACUGAGACACGGACCAGACUCCUACGGGAGGCAGCAGUGAGGAAUAUUGGUCAAUGGGCGGGAGCCUGAACCAGCCAAGUCGCGUGAAGGAAGAAGGAUCUAUGGUUCGUAAACUUCUUUUGCAGGGGAAUAAAGUGCAGGACGUGUCCUGUUUUGUAUGUACCCUGAGAAUAAGGAUCGGCUAACUCCGUGCCAGCCGCGGC